rnacentral:misc_RNA from 1 species
UGGAUGCAUCUCAAUACUUCAUCACGGGGAUAUGAAUCCUUUAGGGAGGAAUCAAUUAUCUCCUGUAGUCUCCCUUCUCUCCAUGAUUGCCAUAUAUGCCCCAUCAAACUUAGGUUAGAAUCCUCUUGAUAAAAGCCAGUGCUCUUCUUUCCUGAAAUAAUCUCUAAUAAUAUAACUCCAAAGCUGAAGACAUCAGAUUUUAUUGAAUAUUUUCCGAACACCACGUAUUCUGGGGACAUGUAGCCGAAUGUUCCAAAAAUUCUGUUUGUCUUUCCUUGAAUUUGGUCUCCUUCAAAGAUUCUAGCUAGGCCAAAAUCUGAAAUUUUCGGGCUC